GCAUCAAUGGGGUAGUGGUAACCUGGGUCGUUGCCACACAUACAUCGACCCGCCGGGGGUUCAAUUCCCCCUUGAUGCA